rnacentral:rRNA from 1 species
GAUGAACGCUGGCGGCGUGCCUAACACAUGCAAGUCGAGCGGCAGCGAGGGGUGCUUGCACCCUGUCGGCGAGCGGCGGACGGCUGAGUAACGCGUGGGAACGUGCCCCAAAGUGAGGAAUAACUGCCCGAAAGGGUAGCUAAUACCGCAUAUUAUCUUCGGAUCAAAGGAUUUAUCCGCUUUGGGAGCGGCUCGCGUCGGAUUAGGUAGUUGGUGAGGUAAUGGCUCACCAAGCCGACGAUCCGUAGCUGGUCUGAGAGGAUGACCAGCCAGACUGGAACUGAGACACGGUCCAGACUCCGACGGGAGGCAGCAGUGAGGAAUCUUCCACAAUGGGCGAAAGCCUGAUGGAGCAACGCCGCGUGCAGGACGAAGGCCUUCGGGUUGUAAACUGCUUUUAUAAGUGAGGAAUAUGACGGUAACUUAUGAAUAAGGAUCGGCUAACUGCGUG